GUUGCUAAGUGGUAAAGCGCUUGGCUUCCAAAAACCGAGAAUCCCAGGUUCAAAUCCUGGUAAAAACA
rnacentral:tRNA from 1 species